rnacentral:rRNA from 1 species
CGCCUACGGGACGCAGCAGUGGGGAAUAUUGCACAAUGGGGGAAACCCUGAUGCAGCGACGCCGCGUGAGUGAAGAAGUAUUUCGGUAUGUAAAGCUCUAUCAGCAGGGAAGAAGAAAGACGGUACCUGACUAAGAAGCCCCGGCUAACUACGUGCCAGCAGCCGCGGUAAUACGUAGGUGGCAAGCGUUAUCCGGAUUUAUUGGGUGUAAAGGGCGUGUAGGCGGGAAAGCAAGUCAGAUGUGAAAACUCAGGGCUCAACCCUGAGCCUGCAUUUGAAACUGUUUUUCUUGAGUGCUGGAGAGG